GCCAAGACCCAGCUUCACUCAACGACCAGCAAGCUACAGUGCUGGACACCCUAUGCCAAACAACUAGCAAGACAGGAACACAACCCCACCCAUUAGCAGAGAGGCUGCCUAAAAUCAUAAUAAGGCCACAGACACCCCAAAACACACCAUCAGACAUGGACCUGCCCACCAGAAAGACAAGAUCCAGCCUCAUCCACCAGAACACAGGCACCAGUCCCCUCUACCAGGAAACCUACUCAACCCACUGAACCAACUUUAGCCACUGGGGACAGUCACCAAAAACAACGGCAACUACGAACCUGCAGCCUGCAAAAAGAUUGGAAGAUCUGUGAGGGCAGUUACCGUACUUGGUCACUGUUAUAUCUUCGGAGUCUUGUACAAGAGCCUGAACCACCGGAGGGACUCAACGCAUAAUGGUCGGGCGAGUGGAUUAGCGGAAGUAGGUUAACUGUUCCAAAAUCAUCACCCCUACUUGGCCAGAUAUUAAAUUCAUUGUCUAAGGAAAGUCUCCGAGGCCACCACAAAGUGCUGGCAUUGCCGCUGUUGUACCUCUGCCUGGUCCCACCCAUGUUUUCCGAGACACGCAUGUGUAUUGGUAACGAGUGGGCAGCGGGGAGGUCUGGCCCAGGCUGCCUCUGGAGGCUGGUGGGUGAAGACGGGUGACAUCAGUGCCUCAGAUGACAAUGAAGAAUUUAAAAAGCGUACAUCAAAGAAUUAAGGGAAGGAGAGAGGAAACAACAGCAGACAAGAGAAAGCUGACACCUAGGUCUUCAAGCACAGAACUCUGCAUAACUGCAGGGCCAGGGAAAUUCAGGAAAAGAGGCACCAGAUCCUUCUGAAGCUAAGAAUGCAGAGUGAACGGAAAGCACGAGGGCUGGCUGAAUCUUUGUAAUGGUGCAGCAAGCUUCCUCCAUCCCCGUCUACCCCAUUCAGCCAAGCGAUUCCCCAAAGCCACAGCAGAACCACUGAAGAGGUUGAACCAACGGACUGGAUUCUGGGUCACAAGGCACAGGGGAAGGUGCAUGAGGUGCCCUCUGACAAAAUUCUGGCAAAGGGCUGACAUCUUGGUCAGGAAACUGGAGGAAAGCUGACUGUCCUCCAAGAACAGACUAACAGAUUUUUGAGGGUAAGGUUUAGAUUCUGUCUGGUGACUCCAUCGUGAAGCACCCCGGGCCAUAUAUAAAAGCUUCCAGCGUGUACAACCGUGCCUCGCUUAUGCAUGAACAGACUGGCAAGGGUUAACAGACAUUUCAUAAAGCCUCUUUCAUGUGAGAAAUAAACAGAAAACAGAAACUCAGAAGAGAUGAGACAGUCCAAGAAAAGGGGCAAUUUGGAGAGCAAGAGCGAGCUCUGGGAACCAUGAGAACAGAAAUGACAAAUUCAUGGAGAAGAAAAAGUUGACGAAAUCUCAAAAAGGGCUGCAAAACGACUAAGAGAUGGGAAAAGGUGAGAACCGGUGAGAAGAACUUCAGAGCCUCUCAAUUCCUAAUCAUGGGGAAGUGGGUGAGGAGGUCAGGAAAAACAGAGCAGUUUUCCAAAAGUAUUGUAAGAUUUUUUUUUUUCUCCCCAAACUGAAGGCCAUGAGGCUGGAGACUGAAAGUGUUGAUGGAAUGCUCAACACACUCAGGCUUGUCACUGAGACACUCCAGACGGCAGGGGAAAAACAGAGGUUCCUACAAGUUCCCAGCGGGUGUGCAGAAAAGUCACAAAGGCAGAAGCAGGAGCCAGAAGGGCAUUCGCUUUCUUAACAGCAGCCCAGAAACCAAAGACAAUGGAGGCGCAGCCUCGAAAAUCCGGGAGGAAAUAUUUUGGAUCUGAGUCUAUAUUUAUCCAAACCAUCAAUCAAGUCUUUCAUUAAAGUCAGCUUCCCAGCGAGGCCUCCCCUCACCACCUUCUCCAAAAUUUCAGCACCCACUCUGUCUCAUAUUUCAUACCCCAGCCCUGCUUCACUUUCUUCCGGAGUGUUUUUCACUAUACACGAUAACUCAUAUUUUCCUUAUUACUACUGUUUAUUGUCAGUCUCUCUUGCUGAAGUGGAAACUUCAUGAGGCCAGGGAUUUUAAAAAAAAUAUCCAAUUCCUCUUGUCUCCUUUUAAUUUUUUAUUAUGUGUUUCUUUAUUGGCUGCGCCUCACGGCUUGCGGAAUCUUAGUUCCCCGCCAGGGAUUGAAUCCGCAUCCUCGGCAGCGAAAGAGCAGAGCCCCAACCACGGGACCGCCGGGGAAUUCGGCCAGGGAUUUCUUUAAAAAUGUUUUUUGUUGUUGAUGGUCACCAGGGUAUCCUUAGUACCUGUGAUACUACCAGUGAUAUUGUAGGUUCUUAAUAAAUAUUUGUUGAAUGAAUGAAUGAAUGAUUUAUUAGUCAUCCAAAAGGAAUGUUCAUUUGGGGAUCCAUCUGGGCUAUAAGAGCUUUUGCUGUGUGAUGUGAACAGCCCAGGAAUCUCGUUCCUGGUUUGGAUACACAUGAGAACCACAUUCUGAAGUGGCCAUUUCCUUGAUUGGAGUAGACCUUCUGCAUGAUAUUUCCCUUCUUCAGAGAGUUAGUUUUCUAGAAUUUCCACGCUGUUACACGUUUUUCAGUGUACAGAAAAAGCCUUUCAAGCCCGUCUGAUCAUAGAUUGUGCAACGUCUUUGCCCCAAACGGGAGAUGCGGUGACUGUCCAUGUGACUGCUAAUGUCAUACCCAAAGGCCAAAACCACUCUUGAGGUCUGAGCCCCAACUAUGCCUGGGUGGGGUCCCUGUACAUGGGCCACUAGUGGCCUCACUACAGUCAAAUAUCACGGCCUCCUUCCCCCAAAGGGCCUGGUUUUCAUUCCCACAUCUGCAUUCUGUACAUGUGUGUGCUUGAAAUAGAAUUUGUAGGCUGCUCUGAGUGAAAAAAACAAUUGGGCCUAAACUCCAGUUACCUCAGGGUCUGGCUGGUACAGCUGCCAGCUGGGUACACAAGUCCAGUUACAGACCAUGAAAAUCCAAAGAAGACGGAAAAGAUGCCUUUACAGACAGAGGAGAAUAGUCUUUUUACACUUGGUUCAGUCUGCCUUUUCAGUUCAGGAAAGGUAUUUAGAAAUGCUUAAACUCAGAAGGAAUUCUCUUAAUCUACGAUGGCGUUUUGUUGGCACGGUGAUAAGAUUCAGCAUGCUCUGGCAUCCUUCCCUCGCUCUGAGUUAGUGCUGGCUGUUCCAGAUUCAGAGGGAGUCUGAAGGACUUUAGAUGAUAAACUCCCUUUUUAUGAAGAAGGGAAGAGGACAUGGGAAAUGCAUUUAUAGGAUGUCUGCUCUGUGUCAGGAACGGUACACAUGUAAUUUCAUUGAAUCAGCAUCUCUGAUGAGGUUGGUGUUAUGGCCCCAUUUCACAGAUAGGGAGAAGGAAGCUCAGAAGGUCCAAGUAACUUGCCACAAGUUACAGGUGGUAAAAUGGCUUAACCAACUUAUAUAUCCCACUUUGUCAAUCCGCAGAAGCCACAAUCUCUCCCUGGAAGAACACAGGCCUCUAAAAUUUUGCAUUUAGCCACAUCCAUCUCCUCCAGCUGGCCUCUCUGGACCAUCUUAGCUGUCCUCACACUUUUAGCCUGACCAUCUGCUCGAAGAUGUGGAAGCAUGAUGGGGGCAGCUUGGAAAAAAUAUUCCUGUCUUGAAGUUAACUGAAGUAGAUGAUGACACAUGGUUAGAAAUAAUGCACAUGCUGGGGGAGUAGGGGAAGGCCCAGAGCCCUGAAAGCGAGAGUGUUGAAAGGAACCUCAAAGCACCUGCAGACCUUCUGAGAAGCCUGAACACUUGGGUUCUUCCAUCUCAAUGGCUCUGCAGAUGGAAUGUGUGUUUUUCACCAAGAACUCUUGGUGACAUUCUGCAAAAAAUUAAGUGCAUUUGGCAGGUCACAUUGUGUUACACAUCCUCAUAAUUUUCUGAAUCUCAGAAUCCAUUCCAGAAUGCAGGACAUCUUCUAAAAUGUUCUUUAUCUUCAUGUGGCAUGCAAGGAUUUUCACUGUGUGACCUUGCUAAGAACUGGAUAUUUACGUUCCUCCAAAAUUCAUGUUAAAAUCCUAAUCUGCACUGUGAUGGCAUUUGGAGGUGGGGCCUCUGGGAGGUAAUUAGGUCAUGAGGGUGGGGCCCCUUCCCCAAUGGGAUUAGCACUCUCAUAAGAACAGACAUGGGAGAGUUUCUUUUCUAUCUCUGCUCUCUGGCUUGUGGGGUUACAAUGAGAUGAUGGCUAACUGCAAACCAGGAAGUGGGUCCCUCCCCAGACACUUUGACCUUGGACUUCCCAGCCUCUGCAACUGUGGGAAAUACAUUGUUGUUUUUUUUUUUUUUUUUUUUUUUUGCGGUACGCGGCCCUCUCACUGUUGUGGCCUCUCCCGUUGCAGAGCACAGGUUCCGGACGCACAGGCUCAGCGGCCAUGGCUCACGGGCCCAGCCGCUCCGCGGCACGUGGGAUCUUCCCAGACCGGGGCACGAACCCGUGUCCCCUGCAUCGGCAGGCGGAUUCUCAACCACUGCGCCACCAGGGAAGCCCGACAUUGUUGUUUAAGACACCCUGUCUUCAGGAAUUUGUCACAGCCGCCCAAACCAACUAAAACAGACCUUAGCCUCCCAUCUCUGCCUUAUUACCCCAAAUGACGCCACAUUCCUAGGACAUCAGAGCUGUCCUGGACAUUUUGCGGCUCUGUGACUUUAUGAAGCAUGCUCGCUCUCCACGCUGUGCCACCCACUUGGGGGACCCUCCCACCACUUCUCUGCUUAGCACAUGCUCUAUCUCUGAGCCAUCUUCCCCAAACACCCCGCCAACACUUUUCCAUUAAGAAUUGAUGAACUUUUCUCAAAUAUGUCUUCUUGAAAUUGCAAGCAUGGCUUUUGCAUUUCUGCGAAAUUCUGCAUUACAAUUAGCUGUAUUCAUCAAAGGGUAAUAGAUAGUAAAGUGUUAGGCACAUAAUAGAUGCUCAGGUAUCUUUUAGUUGAAAUGAAUUCAACUCUCCCGGUAACGUGGCCAACCUAAUCAGACGUAGGCUUGCCUUCUGGAAUGCCUUCUACAAUUUCCCCUAAAUGGCAUUUUCUGCAGGCAGAUGAUGGUGACAAUUCCAAGUGACCUAAAUUCCUCCGUUUCUCCAAAUCCAGUUUAAGACUAGGCGAAUCAAUACACAUUGUAACUGGCAAAUGGCUAAUGCCCUAAAAAUAUAAAGAGCUCUCAGAGUACUUUCUGAUGGAAAAUUAACAAUUUUCACCUUAAUAAGAAAAACAUAAAUAUUAAAAUAAUAAGAUAGCUUUUUAUACCCAUGAAAUUAGCAAAAGUUUUUACAAUAAAAUAAACAGUGCUGACGAGCUGGGAAAAUGAGUUCCCUCACAAAGCACUGUUGGGAAAGAAAGUUGAUACCACUUCUCCAAAGAGCUAUUUGUCAAUAUGAGUCAAAAGCCCCCCAAACACACAUAUGGUUUGAGCCAGUAAUUCAACUUCUACACAUUUAUGCACAAAGAUAUACUUACCAGGAUGCUCAAUAAAGCAUCGUUUAUAAGAAUAAGCGGGGCGGGGGGGGCGGGGGGGAGAGGAAGAGUGGAUUCUAACAUUGGAGGAUUCAUUUAAUAAAUCAAUUCAUAUAACAAAUCCAUUCACUGGAACACUACCCUGUUAUUAAAAGGAAUUCUAAAAGAAAAUGGCAAUGAGAGAAAAAUUUGUAUUUUGUCAAGUGGCAAAGUAUGUUAUACAACAAAAAGGAACUAGAUGUUAAAAAAUCAAUCACCUUAAUGGCAGUGAUGGAUCCAAGUUUUGUGGGUGCUGAAGCUUAUUACAAUUUUGAGGGACCUCCUUCAGAAUAAGAAUACAAAGUUAGAAACAUAAAAUUCAUUAUGAAAGUAAAUCAUUUAUUUAUCGGGGCCUGAACCCUGGUUUCAUCAGGUUCAUGGUUAAGUCUUCCUAUUUGAUGAAUGUCCAGAGAGGUUGUCUUUGGGUGGUAAGUUCUUGGGUGAUGUUCUUUUCUUCAUGAUUUUCUAUAUUUUUUAUAUUUUCUCAAAUUAGCAUGGUUUGAUUUCAUCAUCUUAAAAGAUGACCCUCACAGAUCUAAAGAGACUGGCCAAUUAGGGUUCCUAUUAAGUUCACUGGGUAAUUUUUUAAGCCAGAAGUGACGGGCCAAAGGAGGGGAACAUAUUAAACUAUAAGUGGAGCUGGACGAAUGUAAAUUGGCAUCUGAAAUGGGGAAGACAUUGGUAUUUAAUAUAAGCGAAAGAUUCUAGGAUAGUUAGUGUCGUGGUGUUAUCCUUAAGAGACUGAAUUUAAGAGUCUUAUGAUUUAAAAAAGAAGUGUAAUGCACUGAGAUGUACCUUGGAUGGACUUCUAGAGAUGGCUUUAUUCAUUCAAGAGACCAGCCUCUAUACUGUGCCAGGAAUGGGAGGUACAGUGGUAAACCAAGGGUCACACCCUGCGUUCUAACCUUCACAGUGGUUCCAUAAAUGACACUGUUAUGUAGAAGUUAACAAUUCGGGUCCAACACCAGCUGACAUUUUGUUUCAGACACAGCAGCAAUUUGAAGACCAGGCCACAUGUGUUCCUUGAAAAGUGCUAGCAUGCCCUCUGAUGUCGGAAACAUUUCACAUGCCGGAGAGGACUCAUGCUACCACGCCCCUUCCUAUGGAAUAGCUUUUCAAGUAGGUGACAAAGCAAGAUGUUGAGCGUUGCCUUGCGUGGAAGAAAAAGAUAAUAGAAAAUUUGUUCUCCACAGAAAGUCUGGAUGCUCUUUUUUUUUUUUUUUUUUUUUUUCCGGGUGGGGUGGGGAAUAACUUCACUCUCAGAUUUUAGUGUCUUUGAUUUAGGUAAAUACCAAAUCUUUCCUGCAGUAACUGAAAUGGAUUAUAUCAAUCAGAUAGUUUCUUAUUUCUUUCAGACAUGUGAUAUUUAAAGACAAGGCAAGACUUUGUUAAGUCUUUUAACUAAUUUAUCUUCUAUGAGUUAUAACUGCAGAACUAUGAAGACCCCCUGGAAAGUCUUACUGAGGGACUGAAAAAUUGCAACGGCAAUUUUAAGCGAAAUUCUAAUUUAGAAUGUGCUUUAAAGAGUCAUAAUUGUGGAGUAACACGUUAGAAUCAUGACAGGAUGUGUUAAAAAAUAAGUUUGUAUAAAAGUUAAAUAUGAUAGAGUCUUGCCCACCCAACAACCUGACUGACAGCAGUCAAUGGACAGAGAGCCUUCUGGGAGGUACUCAUCCUUGACACAGAGUCUUAGUAACGGCACCAUUAGUGCUUAAUCCCUUAACGUGGUUUUGUUCCAGACAAAUUAGUACAGUUGGGACUCAAGUGAAAUGAUAAUACUGUUGAAGUGAGCAUCCCAAAGCAUUUCUCUAAAAAACACUGAUAUCUGUUGAUAACUUUUGGAAUUCAAGCUGUGUUAAAGAUGUGCAUAUCUAAGAUGCCGAUUUCUGGUGCCGUGAGCCAGUCCUUCCCAGUGGGUCUUACUGCCCUCUUACAUGGAGAGUUAGACACUUGACUAUGAAGAGGUUACAGCGCAAAGUCACUCAGAGCAACAGCAGUCAGGUCAAUAAUUUAAUCUUAAAGCUUACUCAACAAUGAAGGCAAAACAUAUUAUAAGGACUUCCCUGGUGGCGCAGUGGUUGAGAAUCCACCUGCCAAUGCAGGGGACACGGGUUCGAGCCCUGGUCCGGGAAGAUCCCACAUGCCGCUGAGCAACUAAGCCCGUGCGCCACAACUACUGAGCCUGGCCUCUAGAGCCCGUGAGCCACAACUACUGAGCCUGCGUGCCACAACUACUGAAGCUCACGCGCCUAGAGCCUGUGCUCCGCAACAAGAGAAGCCCCCGCUCGGCACAACUAGAGAAAGCCCGCGUGCAGCAAUGAAGACCCAAUGCAGCCAAAAAAAUAUAAUAAAGUUAGAAAAAAUAGAGCAACAGAAAUUAUAAAAAAUAUAUAUUAUAAGAAAAUGCUGUGAGUAACAUAACUGUGCGUUUACUACAGCUGUAAUUGGAUUCCUUCUUACACUUAGGGUGAACUGCUGGUUAAAUUAAACAUUGCCAUAUCAACUCAUUUUAUAAGGCUAGUAUUCACCUGGAUAUUAGGAAAGUAAUAAAAGGAAAGACUUCAAUUUUAAAUGCAACCCCCUAGAUUAAAUAAUAGCAAAGUAACUCAAGCAAUGUAUGAAAAAAGUACAUUAUGACCAAGAAGAGUUUAUCUCAGGAGUGUAAAGAUGGUUUAACACUAGA